CACCACUGGAGCUUCAUUGCUUCUUAUAGAUCCAACGCCUGAGCUUUAUAUGUUGUAAGAUCCACCACCUAAUGACUACACCUUGUUUGUCUAUGUGUCGGUUAGGUGAAAAGAAUAGACAAGACAGAGUUGAAACUACAAAGCGAACAAGUAGGCGAAUGAUUGAAGUUAUCCCGCGGGCCGGCCUGUUUGUAACAGGACUUUAGGCGGGACGGGAUUGGGCCGGGGCUUUGGAGUACCGCAGCCCGCGCGGGAAUGGACCGCAAUGAACCGCAAAUCGACGAGCCCGCUGCGAUCCGGGACGGG